rnacentral:rRNA from 1 species
CCUACGGGUGGCAGCAGUGGGGAAUAUUGGACAAUGGGGGGAACCCUGAUCCAGCGACGCCGCGUGAGUGAAGAAGUAUUUCGGUCUGUAAAGCUCUAUCAGCAGGGAAGAAAGAAAUGACGGUACCUGACUAAGAAGCCCCGGCUAACUACGUGCCAGCAGCCGCGGUAAUCCGUAGGGGGCAAGCGUUAUCCGGGUUUACUGGGUGUAAAGGUAGCGUAGACGGUUACGCAAGUCUGGAGUGAAAGGCGGGGGCCCAACCCCCGGACUGCUUUUGAAACUGGAUAACUGGAGUGCAGGAGAGGUAAGUGGAAUGCGUAGUGUAGCGGUGAAAUGCGUAGAUAUUAGGAGGAACACCAGUGGCGAAGGCGGCUUACUGGACUGUAACUGACGUUGAGGCUCGAAAGCGUGGGGAGCAAACAGGAUUAGAUACCCCGGUAGUC